CAGGCCUAACACAUGCAAGUCGAGCGGUUGAGAGUAGCUUGCUACUUGAUGCAGCGGCGGACGGGUGAGUAACGCGUGGGAAUCUACCCAUCCCUACGGAACAACUCCGGGAAACUGGAGCUAAUACCGUAUACGCCCUUAGGGGGAAAGAUUUAUCGGGAAUGGAUGAGCCCGCGUUGGAUUAGCUAGUUGGUGGGGUAAAGGCCUACCAAGGCGACGAUCCAUAGCUGGUCUGAGAGGAUGAUCAGCCACAUUGGGACUGAGACACGGCCCAAACUCCUACGGGAGGCAGCAGUGGGGAAUAUUGGACAAUGGGCGCAAGCCUGAUCCAGCCAUGCCGCGUGUGUGAUGAAGGCCUUAGGGUUGUAAAGCUCUUUCACCGAUGAAGAUAAUGACGGUAGUCGGAGAAGAAGCCCCGGCUAACUUCGUGCCAGCCGCCGCAGUAA
rnacentral:rRNA from 1 species